GGGAGAGUUUGAUCCUGGCUCAGAUUGAACGCUGGCGGCAUGCCUUACACAUGCAAGUCGAACGGUAACAGGGAGCUUGCUCCGCUGACGAGUGGCGAACGGGUGAGUAAUGUAUCGGAACGUACCAUUCAGUGGGGGAUAACGAGACGAAAGUUACGCUAAUACCGCAUAUUCUGUGCGCAGGAAAGCAGGGGAUCGCAAGACCUUGCGCUGAUUGAGCGGCCGAUAUCAGAUUAGCUAGUUGGUGAGGUAAAAGCUCACCAAGGCGACGAUCUGUAGCGGGUCUGAGAGGAUGAUCCGCCACACUGGAACUGAGACACGGUCCAGACUCCUACGGGAGGCAGCAGUGGGGAAUUUUGGACAAUGGGGGCAACCCUGAUCCAGCCAUGCCGCGUGAGUGAAGAAGGCCUUCGGGUUGUAAAGCUCUUUCAGCCGGGAAGAAAAUGCAUAGGUUAAUACCCUGUGCGGAUGACGGUACCGGAAUAAGAAGCACCGGCUAACUACGUGCCAGCAGCCGCGGUAA
rnacentral:rRNA from 1 species